AUGAGGAGGAUGCAAGAAAUUGAGGAAGAGAAAGCUAGACAAAAGGCUAUGGAAGCCCAAGAGGAGAAGAGAAUUCUGGAAAUGGAAAAGGAAAGGAAAAGCCUAAUGGACCUGGUUCAUAAGCAACAGAUUAUGAUUGCUAAGUGUGUGGAGAAGAUUGAAAGAUGGGACGAAAGGGAAAAUGAAAUAGAAAAUAUCACUAAAGCUGAACUGGAGAAGAUGGAAGAGGAAAACAAAGAUGAAGAUAAUGGUACUUAUGUUGAGCCUGUGGAUUAUGGGGCUAGUCAAAAAUCAGUUGACUCAUUUGCUACCAGAUUGGGCCUAAACCUCAAGGAUCGAAAAGAAGGGACAAUCAUAACAAUGGGGAAGAUGGAGUGA
rnacentral:rRNA from 1 species